AGAGUUUGAUCAUGGCUCAGAGCGAACGCUGGCGGCAGGCCUAACACAUGCAAGUCGAGCGCCCCGCAAGGGGAGCGGCAGACGGGAGAGUAACACGUGGGAACGUGCCCUUUGGUUCGGAACAACACAGGGAAACUUGUGCUAAUACCGGAUACGUCCUUAGGGAGAAAGAUUUAUUGCCGAGAGAUCGGCCCGCGUCUGAUUAGCUAGUUGGUGAGGUAAAGGCUCACCAAGGCGACGAUCAGUAGCUGGUCUGAGAGGAUGAUCAGCCACACUGGGACUGAGACACGGCCCAGACUCCUACGGGAGGCAGCAGUGGGGAAUAUUGGACAAUGGGCGCAAGCCUGAUCCAGCCGUGCCGCGUGAGUGAUGAAGGCCUUAGGGUUGUAAAGCUCUUUCGGCGGGGACGAUAAUGACGGUACCCGCAGAAGAAGCCCCGGCUAACUUCGUGCCAGCAGCCGCGGUAAUACGAAGGGGGCUAGCGUUGUUCGGAAUCACUGGGCGUAAAGGGCGCGUAGGCGGCUUUAUAAGUCGGGGGUGAAAGCCUGUGGCUCAACCACAGAAUUGCCUUCGAUACUGUAUGGCUUGAGACCGGAAGAGGUAAGUGGAACUGCGAGUGUAGAGGUGAAAUUCGUAGAUAUUCGCAAGAACACCAGUGGCGAAGGCGGCUUACUGGUCCGGUUCUGACGCUGAGGCGCGAAAGCGUGGGGAGCAAACAGGAUUAGAUACCCUAGUAGUCC
rnacentral:rRNA from 1 species